GCAGACACAUUCCAGCCAAUCAGCAGCAGACCCUCACUCCCAGCCCCUCCCACCUCCUGGACAGCAUCCAUUUUACAUUCAUUGUGAAGCUGCAUUCUUAGUGAGCUGUCCAGGAGGUGGGAGGGUCUGGGAGGGAGGGUCUGCUGCUGAUUGGCUGGAAUGUGUCUG